rnacentral:rRNA from 1 species
UACGUAGGGUGCGAGCGUUAAUCGGAAUUACUGGGCGUAAAGUGUGCGCAGGCGGCAGAGCAAGUCGAGUGUGAAAGCCCCGGGCUUAACUUGGGAAUUGCGCUCGAAACUACUUUGCUGGAGUGUGGCAGAGGGAAGGUGGAAUUCCACGUGUAGCGGUGGAAUGCGCAGAUAUCAGGAGGAACACCGAUGGCGAAGGCAGGUCUCUGGGCCAUUACUGACACUGAGACGCGAAAGCGUGGGGAGCAAACAGGAUUAGAAC